AUUGUAAAUGUCGUCUUCCGCCGCAAAACUGAGAUUCAAUUCAAUCUGAUUUCUGGACACGUCUGCGUCUUUCGUGAAAAUUCACGAAUCCUCAAGAACCUUCCAACGAAGAGAGAUCACUGGUGCCGUGGAGACGACGGAGGUGUUGGGUUAACUGUGUAAUACAACAAAUGUGCUCCAAAGAGUUUCGCGGUGUCGAGGGGGGCGGCGGCAGCGGCUCUCGUGGGCUAUCUGCACACACAACACAGCAAACCGGGAGCUCAUCAAUAAAUGAACGUGAACGUUGAG
ensembl:ncRNA W06H8.10 ncRNA